GAUGAACGCUGGCGGCGUGCCUAAUACAUGCAAGUAGAACGCUGAAGGAAGGAGCUUGCUCUUUCCGGAUGAGUUGCGAACGGGUGAGUAACGCGUAGGUAACCUGCCUGGUAGCGGGGGAUAACUAUUGGAAACGAUAGCUAAUACCGCAUAACAGUAGAUGUUGCAUGAUAUCUACUUAAAAGGUGCAAUUGCACCACUACCAGAUGGACCUGCGUUGUAUUAGCUAGUUGGUGAGGUAACGGCUCACCAAGGCGACGAUACAUAGCCGACCUGAUAGGGUGAUCGGCCACACCGGGACUGAGACACGGCCCAGACGCCUACGGGAGGCAGCAGUAGGGAAUCUUCGGCAAUGGACGGAAGUCUGACCGAGCAACGCCGCGUGAGUGAAGAAGGUUUUCGGAUCGUAAAGCUCUGUUGUAAGAGAAGAACGAGGGUGAGAGUGGAAAGUUCACACUGUGACGGUAUCUUACCAGAAAGGGACGGCUAACUACGUG
rnacentral:rRNA from 1 species